rnacentral:rRNA from 1 species
AUGUGAUCGUCUCUCGCAUAUCAAUAAGCGGAGGAAAAGAAACUAACAAGGAUUCCCCUAGUAACGGCGAGUGAAGCGGGAAGAGCUCAAAUUUGAAAUCUUAAAGGGUUUCCCUUUACGAAUUGUAGUUUAAAGAAGUGUUUUCUGUUGAGGUUUUGGUAAAAGUUCUUUGGAAUAGGACAUCAUAGAGGGUGAGAAUCCCGUAUUUGACCUUUACUUUCAACUUUGUGAUACACUUUCAAAGAGUCGGAUUGUUUGGGAAUGCAGUCCAAAAUGGGUGGUAAAUUUCAUCUAAAGCUAAAUAUUGGCGAGAGACCGAUAGCGAACAAGUACCGUGAGGGAAAGAUGAAAAGAACUUUGAAAAGAGAGUUAAACAGUACGUGAAAUUGUCAAAAGGGAAGCGUUUGACACCAGUGUUGUUUUUCUGAAAAUCAAUUAAAGAACUGUUUAUGCUAAGCUGUUUAGACUUUAUCAGCUAACUGUUUAGUUUUGAGCUUUUCUUUAAUGCACUUUUCAGUUAACAAGUCAACAUCAAUUUCUUUUGCUGUAAAAAGGCUUGAGGAAGGUGGCUUGAGAUUCGUCUUAAGUGUUUAUAGCCUCUUGCCUAUGCAGUCGGAGAGAUUGAGGUCUGCAGCGUAGAUCCUUCGGGGCUAAAUGCAUUUGUGCUAAGUUAUAGCAUUUUAUAGACAACUUGUUGACUAUGAUUUGUCUUGUAGCUUACUCGCUUAUGUUAUUUUACCUACGCUUAGGAUGUUGAAGACUCUACAGAGAUA